AUUGAACGCUGGCGGCAUGCUUUACACAUGCAAGUCGAACGGCAGCACGGGAGCUUGCUCCUGGUGGCGAGUGGCGAACGGGUGAGUAAUGCAUCGGAACGUGCCCUGAAGUGGGGGAUAACGUAGCGAAAGUUGCGCUAAUACCGCAUAUUCUGUGAGCAGGAAAGCAGGGGACCGCAAGGCCUUGCGCUCUUUGAGCGGCCGAUGUCAGAUUAGCUAGUUGGUGAGGUAACGGCUUACCAAGGCGACGAUCUGUAGCGGGUCUGAGAGGAUGAUCCGCCACACUGGAACUGAGACACGGUCCAGACUCCUACGGGAGGCAGCAGUGGGGGAAUUUUGGACAAUGGGCGCAAGCCUGAUCCAGCCAUGCCGCGUGAGUGAAGAAGGCCUUCGGG
rnacentral:rRNA from 1 species